UACGGAGGGUGCAAGCGUUAUCCGGAUUCACUGGGUUUAAAGGGUGCGUAGGCGGACACUUAAGUCCGUGGUGAAAUCUCUGGGCUUAACCCAGAAACUGCCAUGGAUACUAGUUGUCUUGAAUGUUGUGGAGGUUAGCGGAAUAUGUCAUGUAGCGGUGAAAUGCAUAGAUAUGACAUAGAACACCAAUUGCGAAGGCAGCUGGCUAGACAAAUAUUGACGCUGAGGCACGAAAGCGUGGGGAGCAAACAGG
rnacentral:rRNA from 1 species